GUAAUUGGAAUGAGUACAAUCUAAAUCUCUUAACGAGUAACAAUUGGAGGGCAAGUCUGGUGCCAGCAGCCGCGGUAAUUCCAGCUCCAAUAGCGUAUAUUAAAGUUGUUGCAGUUAAAAAGCUCGUAGUUGGAUUUCUGUUUCUGGGGUGCGGUCCGCCGCAAGGUGAGCACUGCAGCUCUGGGGACAUCCUCUCGAAGGCGGGUGGUGCACUUAAUUGUGUGCUGCUUGGAUUCGGGACCUUUACUUUGAAAAAAUUAGAGUGUUCAAAGCAGGCGUCGGCUUGAAUACAUUAGCAUGGAAUAAUGGAAUAGGACUUUGGUUCUAUUUUGUUGGUUUCUAGGACCGAAGUAAUGAUUAAUAGGGACAGUUGGGGCAUUAGUAUUUAAUUGUCAGAGGUGAAAUUCUUGGAUUUAUGAAAGACUAACUACUGCGAAAGCAUUUGCCAAGGAUGUUUUCAUUAAUCAAGAACGAAAGUUAGGGGAUCGAAGACGAUCAGAUACCGUCGUAGUCUUAACCAUAAACUAUGCCGACUCGGGAUCGGUGGGGUGAAUUUAGCC
rnacentral:rRNA from 1 species